GGUCUGGUGGUGUAGUUGGUUAUCACGUCAGUCUAACAGUCCAAGAGUUCCUCACAGACUCUUCCCUGUUCCACUGAAGGUCUCCGGUUCAAGUCCGGGCUAGAUCA
rnacentral:tRNA from 1 species